rnacentral:lncRNA from 1 species
AGGGAUGAGCUGGAAGAAGAGGGCCAUUAUGUCAAUGGUCAAGGGACUGACCAGACAAGGAAACAUGAGAAGGGAAAUGCAAGGGAGACAAGACAGGGUCACCGAAGAGAUUACUACUAGACAGGCGCUGAGGAGAGAGGAAGGUAGGUGAAGCUCUUUUCAUUUCCCACACAUGACAAGCUAUUUUGGCAAUUGUAUACAGACAUCGUUGUCCCCUUGAUAUAUGAUGGCAGCGAAGAUAAGGAUUGGCAGUGAUGUCAUCAGACCUUUCUAUGGCGAAGGUGACGUAGUAGCCUGGAUUCGAAAGGUCAAAGUUGUGGCCAGGCUACAAGGCAUCAAAGAUGUAGCGAGUCCCAUGGCCCUGUUUUUUGGAGGGGAGUGCACUGGCACUGUACCUCAAAAUGGAUGAAGAAAAAGAGCGCGGUGAAGAUCGAGCAGCACUUAAGACAGGCUUACACAGAUGGAGAGUACACCGCUUUUGUUAAGCUGGGAAUGAUCAGACGGAGAGGGGAACAGACCAACAAAUAUACUGCGGAGGUACAGAGGCUGGUUGUGUUGUCUGGUCUUACCGGUGAAGGACUUGAGGAGAGAGAAAUGCGACUGGCUUUUGUGAAUAGCUUUCCUGAUGACAUGUCAAUGCAACUACAACAGUUGCCAGGCGACAACAAAAUGGCAAUGAACGAGCUCAUUGUUCAAGCCCAUGUGUUGACACAAAGCACUGGGCAGAAGGCAGUGGUGAUGGUAGCUGCAGAAGCCUGCGAUGCUGCACGAUAGCCGAUGAAGGACAAAAAGUGGCCUGCUGUGGAACAACAGCAGCCAUUCACAGGCAGGUGACUGCAUGGAGCUUGGACUGGUUUGCUGCUGGUGCAAACAGACUGGGCAUAUCAUCUGAAAUUGUAGCCAGGGAAAAGGUCAUGGAGAAGUUGUUGCCUCUCAAACUUCCCCAGCAAACAAGUAGAGGCAUUGGUGAGGUCGUGGUCAGGGGAAACAUGUUCAAGGUCUGUGUGUGUACAUGUGUAUGUACAUGUGAACGUAUGUUUAUGUAAUGAUAUGUGUCAGUUCAAGUUGUAUACAUGACUGUUACCUUGUUGAAGGUUGUAUAUAUAUAUACACAUAUACAUUUAUAUAGACACACAUGUGUCUUCUAAAUACUCACAUACAUACGUAAAUACAUAAGUACAUACAUACAUGCGUAUAGGCAUGCACAUAUGCACGCGCACAUACAUGUACACACAUACAUACAUAUGCACAUACAUACAUAAAUACAUACAUACAUAAAUACAUACAUACAUACAUACAUACAUACAUACACACACACAUACAUACGUACAUUUAUAUCAUGAACUAACUGUUACUUUCUCAGAUGCAGCACGAAGUUUUGUCAGUGAACAAGUUGCAGUCUCAAAGCAACGAAAAUAUUUUGACAAAUUAAAUUUAAAUGUUGAAGUGAAUCUAACGGUUUUUGUGUGUUUCUUAAAUGGCUUAUAAACACCUUCCACGCUACAAUUGUUUAUAUAUAUAUAUAUAUAUAUAUAUAUAUUUCUUUUUAGGAAGUUGAUUGUUAUGACCAUUGGUUUCGCACCUAUAAAGUGCUUAACCAUGUAGGUGACUCAUCAGACUCAAAUUGCUGAAGGUGCAUAACCUCUCUACAGCUAGGAGGAAGAUGUCAUGCUCAAUUAAGUUUUGUAAACAAAAAAAUAUAUAUCCAGAGUUGUGUUACAGGCAAGACAAGGUAUCUCCCUUAUAUCUGUUCCAGCCAUAUUGAUAUUCGAAGAUGCUACCAUGGUCCUAUUCUACAAAUAGGGAAUUCUAAACUUAAAGCAGGAAACAUCUUAUAUGAGGGCAUUUUUGUUUACAAAACUAACUGAUCAUGAUGUCUUCCUCCCUCCAGUUAUAGAGAGGUUAUGUGCCUUCAGCUAUUUGAGUAUGACGAGUCAUGUAUGUUUUAGAGUAUGCUUUAAAGUAUGGCUCUUUUUUUGGAUAUACGUACUACUGACAAUAUAUAUAUAUAUAUAUUCUCUCUCACACACACACACAUGCAACAGGUUUCACUUACAAGACAUUGGUCAACCCAGGGCUAUAAUAGAAGACACCUGCUCAAGGUGCUGCACCUAUAUUUAACCACUAAAGAGCAAUUCAGAGUUCAGAGUCAUCUGCAGUCAAAGGAAUGCUUCUCUAAAUGUGUCAUCUCUUAUUGUUCUUACCACAAAUGAGGUAAGAAUAAUUCUAUGAGAAGAAAAAAAUAACAGUCUACUACCCUCAACAACAAUGAAAAUGGUGGCAAGUGAACAAGCUAAUGCCUGGUAUAGAUGUAUGCUAGGAAAUUUAGAAAUUCCUAACUAACUGAGAACUAGAUAUGACAAAGUAAAGUAACAAAAUGCUGAUACAGUUCUUUCAACAAUACCACAUGUAGUACAGAGCCACAAGCUAUGCAACGUCUGUUAAGAUAUCAUCAUAUGAAAGAAUCAUGCAUUUUUGCUGACUAUGAAAUGCUCAAUGAAGAUGUAGAGAAAUGUUUUCAGUAAAUUCGAUAAAAAUAAUUAAUUAAAAAAAUAAGCAAUUUGCUUAGAUCUUUUUACCAACAAAAAAAAAAUUUUAACUAUUUCAAAAAUAUAACAACUUGGAUUUCAUCUCAAGCUGCAUAUUUUAAUAUGUAGUUCACUGAGAAAGCAGAGAAAUCUGUUCAGCUUCAAUAAAAAAAAAAUUAAUUGACUCAAUAAAAAUAUCUAGUAGAUAUUUGAAUCCUUAAAAAGCUUUUCUCUGCAGUUUGUCAUUGAGAAAAAUUCUAGCUUGAGACAAAAAAGAUGUAAAACAUGUAUUUGAAUUGGUAUUAAAUUAAAUAAAUACUUUUCUAAGGUCUUUCUACUGCCAUAAAAAUAUUAAAUAAGCUUAUUAUUUCAAAAAUAUGUAGCGGGUUUAAGCUUAAGCUGUAUAUUAACGCCUGAGUUUUUAAAUUUAUUUUAUCCAUCAACUUCAUAUUCUCAUUUCAGACAGCUAUGAAAUCAAGGUGGUACAGUUAUUGGUUUCAAAUUUUGACACAAGGUUAGCAAUUUCAGGGAGG